UACGGAGGAUGCGAGCGUUAUCCGGAUUUAUUGGGUUUAAAGGGUGCGUAGGCGGAAUUUUAAGUCAGUGGUGAAAGUUUAAGGCUCAACCUUAAAAUUGCCAUUGAAACUGGGAUUCUUGAGUAUAUUUGAAGUAGGCGGAAUUCGUGGUGUAGCGGUGAAAUGCAUAGAUAUCACGAGGAACUCCAAUUGCGUAGGCAGCUUACUAAACUAUAACUGACGCUGAGGCACGAAAGCGUGGGUAUCAAACAGG
rnacentral:rRNA from 1 species